UUGGUAGCCCUCAAAGUGCGUUACCCUCAACGGAUAACAAUUCUCAGGGGAAAUCAUGAGAGCCGUCAGAUUACUCAAGUGUAUGGCUUUUAUGAUGAAUGCUUAAGGAAUUUGUUGUCAAUGUCCAGC